AUUGAACGCUGGCGGCAGGCCUAACACAUGCAAGUCGAACGAGUGGCGGACGGGUGAGUAAUGUCUGGGAAACUUCCCGAUGUAGGGGGAUAACUACUGGCAACGGUAGCUCAUACCGCAUACCAUCGGAUGUGCCCAGAUGGGCUUAGCUCGCCGGUGGGGUAACGGCUCACCUAGGCGCAGCUCCCUCGCUGGUCUGCGAGGAUGACCAGCCACAAUGGAACUGAGACAACGGCCAGACUCCUACGGGAGGCAGCAGGGGGGAAUAGUGCACAAUGGGAGGAAGGCGGAAGCAGCCAUGCCGGGGGUAUGGAGAAGGGCUUCGGGUUGGUAAGUACUUUCAGCGAGGAGGCGGGAAUCGAAGAAGAAGCACAGGCUAACUCCGGGCCAGCAGGCGCGGUAAUAC
rnacentral:rRNA from 1 species